UCCCUAGUGGCUCAGAUGGUAAAGAAUCUGCCUGCAAUGCAGGAGACCCGGGUUCGAUCCCUGGGUCAGGAA
rnacentral:tRNA from 1 species